rnacentral:rRNA from 1 species
CUGCUGCCUUCCGUAGGAGUCUGGGCCGUGUCUCAGUCCCAGUGUGGCCGUCCACCCUCUCAGGCCGGCUGCUGAUCGUCGCUUUGGUGGGCCGUUACCCCGCCAACUGGCUAAUCAGACGCGGGCCCAUCCUGUACCACCGGAGUUUUUCAAAGGAUUACCAUGCGGUAUUCCCUAUUAUGCGGUAUUAGCACCUAUUUCUAAGUGUUAUCCCCCGGUACAGGGCAGGUUGCCCACGCGUUACUCACCCGUCCGCCACUAAGACAG